rnacentral:rRNA from 1 species
UACAGAGGGUGCGAGCGUUAAUCGGAAUUACUGGGCGUAAAGCGCACGUAGGCGGCUUUGCAAGUCGGGUGUGAAAUCCCCGGGCUCAACCUGGGAACUGCAUCCGGAGACUGCUUUGCUCGAGGUGAUGGGGGAGGGUAAGUGGAAUUUCCGGUGUAGCGGUAGAAAUGCGUAGAUAUCGGAAGGAACAUCAGUGGCGAAGGCGACUUCCUGGACCAAUACUGACGCUCAGGUGCGAAAGCGUGGGGAGCAAACAGG